UGACGUUAGCGGCGGACGGGUGAGUAACACGUGGGCAACCUGCCUGUAAGACUGGGAUAACUUCGGGAAACCGAAGCUAAUACCGGAUAGGAUCUUCUCCUUCAUGGGAGAUGAUUGAAAGAUGGUUUCGGCUAUCACUUACAGAUGGGCCCGCGGUGCAUUAGCUAGUUGGUGAGGUAACGGCUCACCAAGGCAACGAUGCAUAGCCGACCUGAGAGGGUGAUCGGCCACACUGGGACUGAGACACGGCCCAGACUCCUACGGGAGGCAGCAGUAGGGAAUCUUCCGCAAUGGACGAAAGUCUGACGGAGCAACGCCGCGUGAGUGAUGAAGGCUUUCGGGUCGUAAAACUCUGUUGUUAGGGAAGAACAAGUACGAGAGUAACUGCUCGUACCUUGACGGUACCUAACCAGAAAGCCACGGCUAACUACGUGCCAGCAGCCGCGGUAAUACGUAGGUGGCAAGCGUUAUCCGGAAUUAUUGGGCGUAAAGCGCGCGCAGGCGGUUUCUUAAGUCUGAUGUGAAAGCCCACGGCUCAACCGUGGAGGGU
rnacentral:rRNA from 1 species